UUACUAGGCAUUUAACUAGAGCAUUUUAUUUUCAAGGGAAAUAAUUGUGGUCUGACUGUAUUAUUUUGAAAAUCACAGUUGAGAUUUUUUUAUGUGUGCACCGGUACAGUUUUGUGGGGAAGCGAAAGUUGCCAUGGAAUUUUGUCUUUUUCUAAAAACAAGGUAAGUUGACAGUUUUUGUUGAAAUAUAUAUCUGAUAGCUGACACAUAGGAGAAUGUUUUGGUUUAUAUCCAUCUUACAGAUUUUUUUGAAAAUGAAGAGAAACAGGGGGAAUUCUGUAAAUUUCUUCUUAUAUGCAAAUGAGCUGAAAAUGUAUUGAAAUGACUAGAUCAGAAGUUUAUGCCUUUCCAGUAAGUUUUUCCCUACCUUUGACGAUAGUUAUUAAAAGUAUAGAUAUCAACCUCUUUGCUGAUAUUAGUACCUAAAAUUUUCAGCCUGUGAAUAGCUGUGGAAAUUUGGGACUUCCUUUUUUUGAAGAUAUAAAUAGAUCUAAGCUAUAUUUAGACUAAAGUUUUUUUCAGUAUAACAGCAUGUAGAGAACCCUUACAUACAGUCAAAUAUUCUUGAUAUUGCAAGGUAAUAUAAUGCAUUUUUCAAGUGCUUGCUGUUUCUUAUGUUGUGCAUACUUGAUAUAGGUCAUUGUCAAUGUCAACUAUCAUUAUACUGACAUUUGAAGUUGUUGUUUUUUUUCUAAAUUACCUCCCUUAUAUAUGCAUUUUUCUUCAUUCAUUUUAUUGAUAAUUACUUCCCUUUAUGUUUAGCAAAAAUUCUCAGAUUGCAUUUAAUGAACUCCCUUUAUUUAACAUGAAAAAUUCUCUUGUGUAAUGAUUAUUUGUAUAUUUUACUUUCAGUGUCUGAUACAUGUAGUUGCAGUCUGUCUUUGGAAGCUGUAGAAAUAACAAGAAAGGGACUGACAUAGUGUUUUGGUAGGGAAAAGUUUGAGCAUGUACAUGUACAGUUGUUUGACCUGUCUUACCCUGUGGCAGUCCAAGCAGAUGUUACCAUUAUGAAAAAUGCAGGAGAACUUGAAGACAAUGGUUAGUGCAGAAGGGACAUAAAAGUUAUGAUAAAAGUAACAGAUAUAAAUAAGAAGUGCUACAAGUGUGUUGUCAUGUGAAAUGGAAUUUACCCCAACUGUGCUGCAUGAUGUAUAUUCAAGUGCAAGACAGCCAUGCACCAGCUGUAAACUGAGAUGGACCCAUAUAAUAAAUAUGUUGACUUUCCUAUGUAUUAUCAUCUGUACAGAAUGUGUUCAUGACAAGACUGUAUACAUGUAUUGUUAAAUCAUUUUUUAUUUCCAUUAUUGCAUGCAUGUAAGAAGCAAGCAUUUAACAAUUGCAGUCAUAGAAGUGUUAAAAUGUGAUCAAUCUAAUUUAAAGAAACACAUUUAAUUGGACUUUUUAAGUUUCAUAGUAUUUUUGGUGGGGAUUGACCCAGUCAUUCAGCAACUCAUACAGUCUGUGUGUCAUUUCUUGUAUGUUAUAGUUUUCUUAAUAAUACAUUAAAUGUCAAAGUUAUGGUAAGACGAACUCAUUCAUUACUAAAGUCUUGUAGAUUAAUGUUAAAGCAGUUCAACAUUUUACCAUAAGUUAACUAAUAUUCUAUUUAACCAGAGUUGUCACAUAUUUUCAUAUAAAUAUUUGUAUAAUACAGUCUAAUCUAAUCUACAUAUGAUGUACCACAAUUUUUUAGUUAUAUUUUAUGUUGAUAUUUUAUGUUGUUUUCAUGUCUCAACAUAUAAUUACUAACAUCAAAGAAUCUUAAGUAUUUUACAAUUUGGUUGGUAUAAAUGGUUGUUUUGUUUAUAUAUUUUUUUCCAUCCGGGAGAAUAAAGAAAUAUACAUUUCAAAAUAUCUCAUCAUUCCAGAUAAGUACACUACAUAAUCAAGAUAAAAGAAAUAAGAACAAUAUAUGUUGGUGGAAUUUUAUUUUCAAAAAUUUGAUAUACAGUCUUUGUAGUAUUUACUUCUUUAGAUAUGUUGGACUGAAAUGGGAAUAACAACAUACUUCAAUUUUUUGUAGUCAUAAGUUAAUAUGGGAAUUAUUAACUUAACUUAACUUAAAAAGAUUUUAUCUCACUGUUAUGCCAUCUGAGCUUUAAUAUUUUUCAACAUUGUCAUUGGCAACAAGGCUCAAAAUUAUUUGUUGUGUAUACCUUGCAUUCAUGUGUGAUAAAUGCUUUUAUGGUAUUCUUUAAUAUAAUUUAUGCUUUUCAUCUUACCAUGGAUUAAAAAUAUAUAAAUUUAUUUGUCUGAAAAUUAAGGUAAAAAUACUGACUGAUUAAAUUGCAAUAUAAGAAAGCUUAUUUGAGAUAAAGGGAGGUAAUUCCAUAAAAAUAUAUGUAGAAUGUAGAUGAUAAAUGUAAUGAAGGGAGGUAAUAAAAUAUUGUGAAGUUAUUAGUCUUCAUUUCUUUGAUGAGCUAAUUAAUUGUUUUACAUUUUGGUUUAUUAACUACAAGUAUGACCUAACAUGUGUACCUGUCCUGAAGGAAAAUAAAAAAGGUUGUUUGA